UGAUACAGGUAUGCUUGUUUCCAGCACCCAUUUCUUCACAAAACACACACGCACACAAUGUCUGUAUGAUGUGUUGAUUUCAUUAUGCACCUUUUCAUUGCAGGACUAGAGAAGAUGAACCCAAUCACUGUAAGAUUAUGUGACAGUGACACCAGCAAAGUUGUCCAUAGGUUUUUGGAUAUGUGCACCACCAGUGGCCGUAGCUGUGCCACAUAUACCAAAUGAGUGAGGUCUUGCAGAAACAUGCCAUACCAUGGAACAAUUGUGUAAUUUGCACCUGCUGCACUUGUCAAUACAGGAGUCAGGAAUUCAAUUGCAUCGCAAAUUCUGACACAAAAUGGCAGUAUUUACAUCCAUGGAUGUCCCUCCACAAUACUGCCAAACAGGCUGGGCAGAGGUUGUUGGAAUGUUUGUAGAGCUAUGGACAGUUUUGUGAGAGAAAAGUGUGAAAUGGCAGCUGGCUAAUUGAGAGGUUUAGAGGUGAGGAUGUUCCAUUAUUGUAAUUAAACAGGUACACAAACAUCUUAACACUGUUAAUUGUCUGUUAUUCAUCUAACCAGCACAUCCACAAAGAAUGCAGAAAGCCCCUUGCUCUGUAAUGAUCAAAAAAAGUAAAACAGAGAAAUGUAUCUGUAAAUUAAUGUUCUUUGUACGUCUGACUUUUGUCUUGCAGAUGAGGAAAUAGAUCAAGACAGUUUUCCUCUUUUAGAUGAAGGAACCAUUCAGGCUCUAAUCCCCAAGAUUGGCCUCAGGCUUACAUUUCUGAAGUGCUUCAACGAGUUUCUCACACUACUACAUUUGGAGGCAGCGACCUGAAGGGGAAGGAGAAGUUGCCACUGCUCGGAACCGGAGUAUGCAGCUGCAGCACAAUAAAACGCCCGGCAGCAGCAGUAGGAGGAGGGGGAGGAGUAGCAGCAGCAGCAGCACGUCAAGUCAUCGGCAGGAACUCCCAAAUUAAA